rnacentral:rRNA from 1 species
GACGAACGCUGGCGGCGUGCUUAACACAUGCAAGUCGAACGAAGUGGCGAACGGGUGAGUAACGCGUAAUCAACCUGCCCUUCAGAGGGGGACAACAGUUGGAAACGACUGCUAAUACCGCAUACUGAAGGAGGGGAUUGCGUCUGAUUAGCUAGUUGGAGGGGUAACGGCCCACCAAGGCGAUGAUCAGUAGCCGGUCUGAGGGGAGGGACGGCCACAUUGGGACUGGGACAAGGGCCAGGCUCCCACGGGAGGCAGCCGUGGGGAAUCUUCCGCAAAUGGCCGAAGUCUGGCGGAGCAACGCCGGGGUGGUGAUGACGGCCUUCGGGUUGUAAAGCUCUGUUAAUCGGGACGCGGUACCGGAAUAGAAAGCCACGGCUAACUACGUGCCAGCAGCCGCGGUAAUAC